rnacentral:rRNA from 1 species
CCUACGGGUGGCAGCAGUGAGGAAUAUUGGUCAAUGGUCGAGAGACUGAACCAGCCAAGCCGCGUGCGGGAAGACGGCCCUAUGGGUUGUAAACUGCUUUUAUCCGGGAAUAAAAUCCGUCACGUGUGCCGUUCUGCGGGUAUCCCAAGAAAAAGGACCGGCUAAUUCCGUGCCAGCAGCCGCGGUAAUACGGAAGGUCCGGGCGUUAUCCGGAUUUAUUGGGUGUAAAGGGAGGGUAGGCCGGACGGUAAGCUGGCCGUGAAAUGCCGGGGCUCAACCAUGGCACUGCGGUGGAAACUGGCUGACUUGAGUGGGCGAGAGGUAUGCGGAAUUCGCGGUGUAGCGGUGAAAUGCUUAGAUAUCACGAAGAACUCCGAUUGCGAAGGCAGCGUACGGGAGCGCGACUGACGCUGAGGCUCGAAAGCGUGGGGAUCGAACAGGAUUAGAUACCCUUGUAGUC